GAUGAACGCUGACAGAAUGCUUAACACAUGCAAGUCUACUUGAACUUCGGUUUGGGUGGCGGACGGGUGAGUAACGCGUAAAGAACUUGCCUCACAGAUAGGGACAACAUUUGGAAACGAAUGCUAAUACCUGAUAUUAUGAUUUUAGGGCAUCCUAGAAUUAUGAAAGCUAUAUGCACUGUGAGAGAGCUUUGCGUCCCAUUAGCUAGUUGGAGAGGUAACGGCUCACCAAGGCGAUGAUGGGUAGCCGGCCUGAGAGGGUGAUCGGCCACAAGGGGACUGAGACACGGCCCGUACUCCUACGGGAGGCAGCAGUGGGGAAUAUUGGACAAUGGACCAAGAGUCUGAUCCAGAAAUUCUGUGUGCACGAUGAAGUUUUUCGGAAUGUAAAGUGCUUUCAGUUGGGAAGAAAAAAAUGACGGUACCAACAGAAGAAGUGACGGCUAAAUACGUG
rnacentral:rRNA from 1 species